rnacentral:ncRNA from 1 species
AUGGUCGACGCGGGAGAGCCGGGCGCAGCGAUGCGUAUCGGCACCGAAGGAGCAAUCCUCCCCGACAAUCUCUCAGGUAUAAGUACCGCGUCGAUUUG